CCUACGGGUGGCAGCAGUGAGGAAUAUUGGUCAAUGGGCUUACGCCUGAACCAGCCAAGUCGCGUGAGGGAAGACUGCCCUAUGGGUUGUAAACCUCUUUUGUCAGGGAGCAACGCCGGCUACGUGUAGCCUGACUGAGAGUACCUGAAGAAAAAGCAUCGGCUAACUCCGUGCCAGCAGCCGCGGUAAUACGGAGGAUGCGAGCGUUAUCCGGAUUGAUUGGGUUUAAAGGGUGCGUAGGCGGAAUGCCAAGUCAGCGGUAACAUCGCGGGGCUCAACCUCGCUCCGCCGUUGAAACUGGCGUUCUUGAGUGGGCGAGAAGUAUGCGGAAUGCGUGGUGUAGCGGUGAAAUGCAUAGAUAUCACGCAGAACUCCGAUUGCGAAGGCAGCAUACCGGCGCCCAACUGACGCUGAAGCACGAAAGCGUGGGUAUCGAACAGGAUUAGAUACCCGAGUAGUC
rnacentral:rRNA from 1 species